GCAAUCAUAGCUCUGUUGGUAGAGCAUGAGACUCUUACAAUCUCAGGGUGGUGGGUUCAAGUCCCACAUUGGGCAUUGCA